UACAGAGGGUGCAAGCGUUGUUCGGAAUCAUUGGGCGUAAAGGGCGUGUAGGCGGUUUUGUUAAGUCAUGUGUGAAAUCCCCUCGGCUCAACCGGGGAACGACGCAUGAAACUGGCAGCUAGAGUACCAAAGAGGGCGGUGGAAUUCCCGGUGUAGCGGUGAAAUGACGUAGAUAUCGGGAGGAACACCUGUGGCGAAGGCGGCCGCCUGGUUGGAUACUGACGCUGAGACGCGAAAGCGUGGGGAGCAAACAGGG
rnacentral:rRNA from 1 species